rnacentral:rRNA from 1 species
UGACCUCGGAUCAGGUAGGGAUACCCGCUGAACUUAAGCAUAUCAUAACG